UUAAAGAAAUUGAUUUAAAAUUAAGGAUGCAGGUGUUUGAGGAUGCCCUGUUUUGAACAAACAAUGCAAUAAAAUGCUUGGCUUUGGAUUUUUCCAGGUGUUCUGUGAGAAAAGGCAAAGGGGGAAGCUUCCUGGGGAUUUAAAGAGACAGCCACACCUCCUCAUGCAGUGCCAGCAUCAUCCCUGAGACAGGAUGGUGGAGGUUGGAGUGAAUGGAUUCAGCCAUAUUGUGAACCUGGUUACCAAGACUACCUUCAACUCUGGCAGAGUGAAAGGUGUUGCCAUCAGUGACCUCUUCAUUGACCUCAACUACAUGGUCUCUAUGUUCCGGUAUAACUCUACUCAUGCCAAGAUCCAUGGCAGUCAAGGCUGAGCAUAGGGAAUUUGUCCUCAAUGGAGCAAGAUCCCACCAGCCUUAAACGGGGUGUUACUGCUGCCAAGAAUACUGUGGAGUCUACUGGUGUCUUCACCAGCUUGGAGAAGAUUAGGACCCACUUGAAGGGUGGUGUCAAAGGCUCAUCACCUCUGCCUGUUUUGCUGAAGUCCCCAUGCAUGUGAUGGGUGUGAACCCUGAGAAGUAUGACAACUCACUCAAGAUUGUCAGCAGUGCUUCAUGCACCAACUGCUUAGCUUUCCUGGCCAAGGUCAUCCAUGACAACUUUGGCAUUGUGGAAGGACUCAUGACCAUACUCCAUGCCAUCACCAGUAGCCAGAAGACUGUAGACUACCCCCUGGAAACCUGUGGCAUGGUAGCCAAGGGGCUGCCCAGGACUUCAUCUCAGCAUUCACUGGUGCUACCAAGGCUGUAGACAAAGCCAUUGCAGAACUGAAUGGGAAGCUCACUGGUAUGGCCUUCUGGCCUGUGUGUCUAUCCCCAGUAUGUUUACAGUGGAUCUGACAUGCUCCCUGGAGAAAGCUGGUUGUGAAGCAGUCUUCAGAGAGCCCACUAAAGGGCAUUCUGGGCUACACUGAGGACCAAGUUAUCUCCUGUGAUUCUUCCAGUUCUACUGCUUGAGUUGGCAUUACUUUUAAUGACAACUUCAUAAAUACCAUUUUCUGAUAGGACAACAGAUACAGCUUAGCUAUAGCAACCUGGUGGUGAACCCCAUGGCCUACGUAGCCUCCAAGGAGUAAGAAUUCCUGUACCACAUGUCCCAGCAACAGCAUGAGAGGAAGAGCGAGACCCGUAGCUGCUGAAGGAGUUUCUGCCCCAACUCAGUCCUCAACACUAAGCAUUUCUCCUCACAGUUUCCAUCCCAGAUCCCCAGAAGAAAGAAAGUGGCUUUGGGAACACUACUUUCUUGAAUGCCAUCAAUAAAGCUCUGUGUACCCUUCCAAUAUAUAUGUCUAAGUCAAAUAUAUUUUAUUCACAUUAAUAAAUAUCAACAGAAUAA